AUGAUUAAGAGAGCUGUAUUUGCAAGAGAAUUAGGGGUUCCUAUUGUAAUGCAUGACUACUUAAUUGGGGGAUUCACCGCAAAUACUACUUUGGCUCAUUAUUGCCGCGACAAUGGCCUACUUCUUCACAUUCACCGUGCAAUGCAUGUAGUUAUUGAUAGACAAAAAAAUCAUGGUAUGCAUUUCAGUGUAUUAGCUAAAGCAUGGUAUAUAGGACGGACAUUUGGGACACCUAGGUGCUUGGGCACCUUGCCUACAAACCGUCGGAUUACAUUAAGAUGUGUGCACUUGUAUUAG
rnacentral:rRNA from 1 species